GAUUUUUAAAAGGGGGCCGGGGCCUGAGCUUUAAAAGGGGUGGGGCUGACUUUAAAAGGGGGCGGGGCCAGAAGGGAGAGAGUUCAUUUCUUUUCCAGGGAGUACUGAGGCCCAGCCCAUCAGUGCCCACGCUACACAAGAUGUGCUAGACAGUCGCUUCCUAAGCCAACAUCAAAUCACUGAUAUUCUUUCAGGAAAAGGCUCCUCUUGCCCCCUUUCCCACGAGAAGGAGAAAGCCUGGAGGCCCGGGUUGGCACACCACCCUCCCAGGAGCCAGGGCAGGAGCCAGCUGUGCGGAGGCCUGUGUCCAGGGUCACGGUCAUCUCAGGGACUGCCGCUGCCACAGUCACCAGGCUGUAGGGCUCGAGGCCUGGCUUGGCAGGUUCCUUAACUGGGAAGUGCAGGUUGCUUGGAAACAGCAGCCUGGCACUGGAGUGAUCUCAUAAAACAAACAGCAGAGAUGCUAAUUCCCUUCUCUCAGUAAUGAAUAAUCAAAUACCCAGAGACUUCGGCCGAAAAUAAACCACCUCCGGAUGCCAGGCCUGACCCAGCUCCACCCGGGCCCUCCCAGGCCUGCAGCCCCGGGGGCCUCAGGCAUCAGUUCCUGAUGCUGGGGAGGGAAGGUGGUGGGCAGCAGAUUCACGGCCAGGCCUGUGGAGCUGAGACCAGAACAGGGGACAGCCAGGUCCAAGUGACAAAGAUAAACUGUGACAGCGUUUCCAGCAAGACUUGCUCUCUUCUACCCUCCUGAGGGAUGAGAAGAUGCCCCCCAGGCCACUCAGCUCAGAGGCAGCACUGAGAUGCGGUGAGUUCCCGAGGUCUCAGGGGAGCAGUCCUCAUGCCCCCAACUCGGCUCUGUUCACUGAGGGACAGGAGACUGGAAGCCCAGCAAGGAGCCUUCAUUCCAGGGCUGGUUCCACAGAGCACCCUCCAGGACAGAGACGGAGCACCCUCAGCUCCGUCAGGGACAGAGAGGGGGCACCCUCUGGGACGGAGACGGUGCUCCCACAGAAGCGCCCAUCCACACCACCCCUAGAAGGACCUAUCCACACAGCCCGUCUCCACCACCCCCAGAAGCGCCCAUCCACACAGCCCGUCUCCACCACCCCCAGAAGCGCCCAUCCACACAGCCCGUCUCCACCACCCCCAGAAGCGCCCAUCCACACAGCCCGUCUCCACCACCCCUAGAAGUGCCCAUCCACACAGCCCGUCUCCACCACCCCUAGAAGCGCCCAUCCACACAGCCCGUCUCCACCACCCCUA